CACGCCGUAAACGGUGGAUGCUGGAUGUGGGGACCAUUCCACGGUCUCCGUGUCGGAGCCAACGCGUUAAGCAUCCCGCCUGGGGAGUACGGCCGCAAGGCUAAAACUCAAAGAAAUUGACGGGGGCCCGCACAAGCGGCGGAGCAUGCGGAUUAAUUCGAUGCAACGCGAAGAACCUUACCUGGGCUUGACAUGUUCCCGACAGCCCCAGAGAUGGGGCCUCCCUUCGGGGCGGGUUCACAGGUGG
rnacentral:rRNA from 2 species